CAGAAUAUAUUUAUCGCAUUGUAGAUAAUUGCAUGAUUGUGUAUUGUGCUAAAAGAAUGUCCCGCACGGCUACCGUAGCUUAGACGGAAAAGCUCCUCAUCGCUCCCCGGAUGUAACGCAACCAAGUGAUAGAUUUUGUUCUCUGGAUCCUCGUGUGAGUUUAUUAAACUGCUGUCCUCUGAA